rnacentral:rRNA from 1 species
UACAGAGGUCUCAAGCGUUGUUCGGAAUCAUUGGGCGUAAAGGGUGCGUAGGCGGCGCGGUAAGUCGGGUGUGAAAUCUUGGAGCUUAACUCCGAAACUGCAUUCGAUACUGCCGUGCUUGAGGACUGGAGAGGAGACUGGAAUUUACGGUGUAGCGGUGAAAUGCGUAGAUAUCGUAAGGAAGACCAGUGGCGAAGGCGGGUCUCUGGACAGUUCCUGACGCUGAGGCACGAAGGCCAGGGGAGCAAACGGG